rnacentral:rRNA from 1 species
UACGUAGGGUGCGAGCGUUAAUCGGAAUUACUGGGCGUAAAGGGCGCGUAGGCGGUCUACUAAGUUGGAUGUGAAAACUCUGGGCUUAACCCAGAGCCUGCAUUCAAAACUGAUAGGCUGGAGUUCUGUAGGGGAUAGCGGAAUUCCUGGUGUAGCGGUGAAAUGCGUAGAUAUCAGGAGGAACACCGAUGGCGAAGGCAGGUCUCUGGGCCACUACUGACGCUGAGAAGCGAAAGCAUGGGGAGCAAACAGG